rnacentral:rRNA from 1 species
CAACGCCGCGUGGAUGAUGAAGGCCCUUGGGUUGUAAAAUCCUUUCGGCAGGGACGAAUAAAUUGACGGUACCUGAAGAAGAAGCCCCGGCUAACUCCGUGC